UGCUGGAGGUAUCAGAAGUGCGAAUGCUGACAUAAGUAACGAUAAAGCGGGUGAAAAGCCCGCUCGCCGGAAGACCAAGGGUUCCUGUCCAACGUUAAUCGGGGCAGGGUGAGUCGACCCCUAAGGCGAGGCCGAAAGGCGUAGUCGAUGGGAAACAGGUUAAUAUUCCUGUACUUGGUGUUACUGCGAAGGGGGGACGGAGAAGGCUAUGUUAGCCGGGCGACGGUUGUCCCGGUUUAAGCAUGUAGGCUGGUUAUCCAGGCAAAUCCGGAUAAUCAAGGCUGAGGUGUGAUGACGAGGUACUACGGUACUGAAGUAACAAAUGCCCUGCUUCCAGGAAAAGCCUCUAAGCAUCAGGUAACAUCAAAUCGUACCCCAAACCGACACAGGUGGUCAGGUAGAGAAUACCAAGGCGCUUGAGAGAACUCGGGUGAAGGAACUAGGCAAAAUGGUGCCGUAACUUCGGGAGAAGGCACGCUGGUGUGUAGGUGAAGUCCCUGCGGAUGGAGCUGAGACCAGUCGAAGAUACCAGCUGGCUGCAACUGUUUAUUAAAAACACAGCACUGUGCAAACACGAAAGUGGACGUAUACGGUGUGACGCCUGCCCGGUGCCGGAAGGUUAAUUGAUGGGGUUAUCCGUAAGGAGAAGCUCUUGAUCGAAGCCCCGGUAAACGGCGGCCGUAACUAUAACGGUCCUAAGGUAGCGAAAUUCCUUGUCGGGUAAGUUCCGACCUGCACGAAUGGCGUAAUGAUGGCCAGGCUGUCUCCACCCGAGACUCAGUGAAAUUGAACUCGCUGUGAAGAUGCAGUGUACCCGCGGCAAGACGGAAAGACCCCGUGAACCUUUACUAUAGCUUGACACUGAACAUUGAGCCUUGAUGUGUAGGAUAGGUGGGAGGCUUUGAAGCGUGGACGCCAGUCUGCGUGGAGCCAACCUUGAAAUACCACCCUUUAAUGUUUGAUGUUCUAACGUGGGCCCCUAAUCGGGGUUGCGGACAGUGUCUGGUGGGUAGUUUGACUGGGGCGGUCUCCUCCCAAAGCGUAACGGAGGAGCACGAAGGUUAGCUAAUCCUGGUCGGACAUCAGGAGGUUAGUGCAAUGGCAUAAGCUAGCUUGACUGCGAGCGUGACGGCGCGAGCAGGUGCGAAAGCAGGUCAUAGUGAUCCGGUGGUUCUGAAUGGAAGGGCCAUCGCUCAACGGAUAAAAGGUACUCCGGGGAUAACAGGCUGAUACCGCCCAAGAGUUCAUAUCGACGGCGGUGUUUGGCACCUCGAUGUCGGCUCAUCACAUCCUGGGGCUGAAGUAGGUCCCAAGGGUAUGGCUGUUCGCCAUUUAAAGUGGUACGCGAGCUGGGUUUAGAACGUCGUGAGACAGUUCGGUCCCUAUCUGCCGUGGGCGCUGGAGAAUUGAGGGGGGCUGCUCCUAGUACGAGAGGACCGGAGUGGACGCAUCACUGGUGUUCGGGUUGUCAUGCCAAUGGCACUGCCCGGUAGCUAAAUGCGGAAGAGAUAAGUGCUGAAAGCAUCUAAGCACGAAACUUGCCCCGAGAUGAGUUCUCCCUGAGACUUUAAGUCUCCUGAAGGAACGUUGAAGACGACGACGUUGAUAGGCCGGGUGUGUAAGCGCAGCGAUGCGUUGAGCUAACCGGUACUAAUGAACCGUGAGGCUUAACCUUACAACGCCGAAG
rnacentral:rRNA from 1 species